AAAGUCGUAACAAGGUCUCCGUAGGUGAACCUGCGGAGGGAUCAUUAUCGAACGGCGCUAGCCGCCCUCGACACACAAACCAGGUGGAAGCGACCCGUGCUUCGGCGCUCCGGCGCCGCCUCGACGCAUGAAUCCGUCUGAAGUCUGAAUAUGAAAUUUGAAUCAAAACUUUCAACAAAGGAUCUCUUGGCUCUC
rnacentral:misc_RNA from 1 species